CGGCGGACGGGUGAGUAAUGUCUGGGAAACUGCCUGAUGGAGGGGGAUAACUACUGUAAACGGUAGCUAAUACCGCAUAACGUCGCAAGACCAAAGAGGGGGACCUUCGGGCCUCUUGCCAUCAGAUGUGCCCAGAUGGGAUUAGCUAGUAGGUGGGGUAACGGCUCACCUAGGCGACGAUCCCUAGCUGGUCUGAGAGGAUGACCAGCCACACUGGAACUGAGACACGGUCCAGACUCCUACGGGAGGCAGCAGGG
rnacentral:rRNA from 1 species